UACACUGUAAGACAAGACGUGAAAGAGUAGUUCAAACAUUUCUGAGCCCAGUAAGGAUUUCAGGUUGGCGGUUGCACUCCACAUGCGUGACUGCAGAGUGAGCUGAAAUGGAAUUUGCUUGUGGGUACGUUUAUGUGCCACCGUCUGUGACUCAGAGAGACGUCCUGCAAUCCAACACUAAUGGCAAUAAACGCUCAGCUCUCCUUCCUCCUGUUUCCUGGCUUCGUCCCCGCACCGCUCCUCCUCCACCUCCAACAGAUUCUCCAAAAACCACAAAAGCAAAGCAACCCCACACGUAUGAGACCAAGAUUGAACUUUUAAAAGGGAACAAACAGGUCA